rnacentral:misc_RNA from 1 species
AAGUCGUAACAAGGUUUCCGUAGGUGAACCUGCGGAAGGAUCAUUAAUGAAUUUUAAUGGGUGGGGUUGUCGCUGGCCUACUUGUAGGCAUGUGCACGCUUCGCUUCAUUCCAUCCUUCAUACCACUGUGCACUUCUCAUAGGUCGGAUUGCAGAGCUGCUUUAUUGCGGCAAUGAGGUCCUUCCUAUGUGUUUUUACAAUAAACUUUGUCUGUCUUAGAAUGUUAAUAUCAUGCAUGAAUGCAUAUAUAAUACAACUUUCAGCAACGGAUCUCUUGGCUCUC